rnacentral:rRNA from 1 species
AGUGAACGCUGGCGGCAGGCCUAACACAUGCAAGUCGAGCGGCAGCGCGUCCGACCACCCUCGGGUGGUCGGAUGGCGGCGAGCGGCGGACGGGUGAGGAAUGCAUCGGAAUCUGCCUCGUUGUGGGGGAUAACGUAGGGAAACUUACGCUAAUACCGCAUACGACCUACGGGUGAAAGUGGGGGGACCUUCGGGCCUCACGCGACUGAGAUGAGCCGAUGCCGGAUUAGCUAGUUGGCGGGGUAAAGGCCCACCAAGGCGACGAUCCGUAAGCUGGUCUGAGAGGAUGAUCAGCCAACACUGGAACUGAGACACGGUCCAGACUCCUACGGGAGCAGCAGUGGGGAAUAUUGGACAAUGGGGGCAACCCUGAUCCAG